rnacentral:rRNA from 1 species
AUUGAACGCUGGCGGCAGGCCUAACACAUGCAAGUCGAGCGGAUGAAGGGAGCUUGCUCCUGGAUUCAGCGGCGGACGGGUGAGUAAUGCCUAGGAAUCUGCUUGGUAGUGGGGGAUAACGUCCGGAAACGGGCGCUAAUACCGCAUACGUCCUGAGGGAGAAAGUGGGGGAUCUUCGGACCUCACGCUAUCAGAUGAGCCUAGGUCGGAUUAGCUAGUUGGUGGGGUAAAGGCCUACCAAGGCGACGAUCCGUAACUGGUCUGAGAGGAUGAUCAGUCACAAUGGAACUGAGACACGGUCCAGACUCCUACGGGAGGCAGCAGUGGGGAAUAUUGGACAAUGGGCGAAAGCCUGAUCCAGCCAUGCCGCGUGUGUGAAGAAGGUCUUCGGAUUGUAAAGCACUUUAAGUUGGGAGGAAGGGCAGUAAGUUAAUACCUUGCUGUUUUGACGUUACCAACAGAAUAAGCACCGGCUAACUUCGUG